AACCUUAUGGACCUGCGGGCGUAUACCUGCGGAGGGAUCAUUACCUUUUUUCAGUACGGGGGCUUACAGUUCGCUGUAGCUCCUUGUCUGUAUCCAUGUCUUUUGCGUACUUGAACGUUUCCUCGGCGGGUCACACCCGCCGAACGGACAACCACAUAAACCUUUUUGUAAUUGCAAUCAGCGUCUGAAUAAAUAUAAUUAUUUACAACUUUCAGCAACGGAUCUCAGAUCGGAAGAGCA
rnacentral:misc_RNA from 1 species